rnacentral:rRNA from 1 species
AUACGGAAGGUCCGGGCGUUAUCCGGAUUUAUUGGGUUUAAAGGGAGCGCAGGCGGAGAUGCAAGCGUGACGUCAAAUUUCGGGGCUCAACCCCGUCUCGCGUCGCGAACUGCGUCCCUUGGUUGCGGGAAGGGGAGGCGGAAACCGGGGUGUAGCGGGGAAAUGCAUAGAUAUCACGAAGAACUCCGAUCGCGAAGGCAGCCUUCCGGCCCGUCAACGACGCUCAUGCUCGAAGGUGCGGGUAUCAAACAGGAUUAGAUACCCUGGUAGUCCGCACAGUAAACGAUGGACACCCGCGGUUUGGCCUAUAUGGCUGAGCCGCCAAGCGAAAGCGUUAAGUGUCCCACCUGGGGAGUACGCCGGCAACGGUGAAACUCAAAUGAAUUGACGGGG